UACGUAGGGGGCUAGCGUUAUCCGGAAUUACUGGGCGUAAAGGGUGCGUAGGUGGUUUCUUAAGUCAGAGGUGAAAGGCUACGGCUCAACCGUAGUAAGCCUUUGAAACUGGGGAACUUGAGUGCAGAAGAGGAGAGUGGAAUUCCUAGUGUAGCGGUGAAAUGCGUAGAUAUUAGGAGGAACACCAGUUGCGAAGGCGGCUCUUUGGACUGUAACUGACACUGAGGCACGAAAGCGUGGGGAGCAAACAGG
rnacentral:rRNA from 1 species